GACUUGCUGAGUUUUCCAGCGUUUAUCUUUCUCCCGCGCUGGAUGCUUCCUGCCUUUGAACAUCAGACUCCAAGUUCUUUGGCUUCUGGACUCUUGGACUUACACCAGUGGUUUGUCGGGGCUCUCAGGUCUUCUGCCACAGACUGAAGGCUAUACUGUCAGCUUCCCUACUUUUGAGGUUUUGGGACUCGGACUGAGCCACUGCUGGCUUCCUCGCUCCUCAGCUUGCACGCGGCCUAUCGGGGGACUUCACCUUGUGAGCGUAAUGCUGACUUGGUUUAUGUAUCUAUCUCUUUCCCACACCAUCUAUGCCUCAGAGAAAUCUUCACAAACUCAGCUUCAAGGAUGGGUCAGAGCCUUGGAAACUGCAUCUGCCUGGCUGUCAUUUUCUGCAAGUGCUGGUGUAAUUUCAAGAUUUGCUUGCCAAAUGCAUUAUAGCAUACUGGACAAAAACAAGGACUGCUGGGAUGAAAUUGAGAUUAUGAAGCUCUUGAGGUAAGAACAUUGGUCACAAAUCGAUGAAACUAAUUGUAAUCUGUUUUCAACCUCUUCAGAGUUGGGCCUUUUGCAUCACAUAAUUGUGUUGAGCUCAAAAAGAGUAAAAGGAGUAGUUUUAUUUUAAUGUUUUAUGAUAUAAACAGCAUGUGCUUCAAUAAAGCACUUAACGUUCUAAAUAUUCUUUAAAAUAUGUAAAAAUAUUUUCCAAGAGUUCUCAUUUUUACAGAUGAAAAAUAGAAUAAACAGAAACAGAGAUAUAUAAGAAAUAUUUUGGGAAGAAGAAAAUAUGUAUAUCUUCAUUCAUUUGAAUACUAGUAUCCCCUUUACUAAUAUUAAUUAUCCACAGUAACAAAAUAAUGCCCCUAAAAACUAGGCUCGUUCUAGAUGUAUGAAAUGAGACAUUGUUAAACAUAUGAUUCUUAUUCUACUGGGUUAGUGAAGUUAGCAGAUGCUCUUCUCACAAAACAAAUAUUACACUGCUUUACUUUGCUGCUGUUGCUGCUAUUAAAAGCUAUUUGGAAGAAAAGUUUUGUCUUUUCCCCACCAGUUGUUUUCUAAAGACCACUUUGUCACUAUCAUUGUUUCAAUGAAUAUAUUAGAAACUUUUAUUGGCAUCAUGAGAAAUGAAAAAAACAUUGAUGUGAGAUUUAUCUUAUUUUAACAGGUAUAAAGAAGAAAACUUUCACAAAUACCUUAGCAGAGAGAAUAUUAAAGUGUUCUCUCUACCUUCUCUCAUACUUACCCCACUGCAUCACCAGAACAACCCAUCACCUACAGUAAAUGUAAAAAAGGGACAGACAGGGAUGUUUUUAUAGGGAGUCUAAAGGAUAUCCUUUUUAAUAAUCACAGUUUACCACCACCAACUAUGUCACAGUUCUGGAACAUUCAGGAGCUGAUAUGUGUUUCAAAGGCUUGAAGUUCUUUCUAUUUUAUAUGUCAGAGGGGAAAUCUAGAUUUAUAUCAGUGAGCUAGAAAAAUUUAUCUACAGAGAAAUGUAAAAUGUUAAAGAGAUGUAAGGAAGCGAAUCUUUUGAAAGGAAGACAAAUAUUUAUGUAUAUAUCAGGCCAUUUGAUUUGUGCUAUUUCUCCCUAAAGUAGGACUCUGAUACAAACAAUGUAGAAACAAGGAGGAAGGGACAAAAUAAAAAAAUAAUUUAUUUUA